rnacentral:rRNA from 1 species
UACGUAGGUCCCGAGCGUUGUCCGGAUUUAUUGGGCGUAAAGCGAGCGCAGGUGGUUUAUUAAGUCUGGUGUAAAAGGCAGUGGCUCAACCAUUGUAUGCAUUGGAAACUGGUAGACUUGAGUGCAGGAGAGGAGGGUGGAAUUCCAUGUGUAGCGGUGAAAUGCGUAGAUAUAUGGUGGAACACCAGUGGCGAAAGCGGCUCUCUGGCCUGUAACUGACACUGAGGCUCGAAAGCGUGGGGAGCAAACAGG